UUGAUGUGAGUAUUACAUCAGGUACUGGUCCUUUUAAUAAUUUCUAGCCAGUGCUUAUGUUAUGCUCGCAUUAA
rnacentral:pre_miRNA from 1 species